CCUACGGGCGGCAGCAGUGGGGAAUAUUGCACAAUGGGGGGAACCCUGAUGCAGCGACGCCGCGUGGGUGAAGGAGUAUUUCGGUAUGUAAAGCCCUAUCAGCAGGGAAGAAAAAUGACGGUACUAAACUAAAAAGCACCGGCUAAAUACGUGCCAGCAGCCGCGGUAAGACGUAUGGUGCAAGCGUUAUCCGGAUUUACUGGGGGUAAGGGGGGCGCAGGCGGCGCGUUAAGCCGGGUGUGAAAGCCAGGGGCCAAACCGCGGGACUGCAUUGGAAACUGGCGUGCUGGAGUGCCGGAGGGGUAGGCGGAAUUCCUAGUGUAGCGGUAAAAUCCGUAGAUAUUAGGAGGAACACUCGUUGCGAAGGCGGCCUACUGGACGGUGACUGACGCUGAUGCUCGAAAGCGUGGGGAGCAAACAGGAUUAGAUACCCUAGUAGUC
rnacentral:rRNA from 1 species